AUCUUCGGAUUUGCUGGCCUAAUUUUUCAGUAAGAAGCAUUUGACAGAAGGAUUUGACAGCCUUCACAGUCACAGAUUAUUACAAAUCUUUACAAGUAGGAAAUGUAUUACUAGUAACAAAUAACCUAAGAUUUCGGCUUCUUGAAGAUGUGGUUUUCAACCAAAAAAGACCUGUUGUUAGCCCAAGCAGAAACUGAUGUUUUUUUCUCUCCAUGAGUAGGGAAGAUGAAUUUCUAGGGAUGAAGUUUUUUAGGUGUCUUGUUGGGAUUUUAUAAUUGCAUUUUAGGUGUCAGAGCAGAGUUGUUCUCACUUAGAUAUUUAAGAAUUGCAGCUUUUGGUUUGUCUGUCGUACAAAAGUGUGGGUCCUCAUUGUGCACUUCCUGUACCGUGAAGCUUAAGAGCACAAGCACAUUGCAAAUUUGGAAAAGACUUGUAAAAACGAUCAUAAAGGUAAGGUCCAGGUGAAAAGAUGUGAACCUUACAUGAGUACGACAGAUUUGGCAAGAUUUGCCUUCCUUGAGCCUUUGUUCUGACUAGAGGCAAAUAUAAAACAUAAAUGUAGGAAGAGAGGCUUUAUAGAUCAAGAAUGUCAUAUUUCUUUUUACAUUAAUUAAUAAUAAUGGCACGUAGAGCCUGCCAGUCUGGAGCCCAUGUGAACAGUAACGUCUGGAACAGAACUGUUAGAGCUUCUCAGCUGUGCCGUCCUGCUGAGCGCAGUGCUGCUUUGCUCUCUCCUCUUUUUCAGCUCCAGUUCCAGCGUCCUCUUUAGUGCUGCCAGUUCUGGGUGAAGGACGUGGUCUUUGGCCUUCACUUCUUCCAUUUACGGAAAGUUCAGAAGCUAAAAACUAAGGUAUCCAUUGCUCUGAUUGUGUUUGAUGGAGAAAGCGCAGUUUGGUGUCAUCUGCCACGCGUCUCCUGGAGCAUGGCACUGCUGGAAGGCCGCUGCAGUCUGGAAACGGGCUGGAAGGCAUGCAGAACUUCUCUUUCCUGCCCUUAGUCUGUAUGGUGUGGGUUUCAAAGCUGAGUGUGAAAUAUUGUAAAUACGGUCUUAAAGUUGAUGUUGUAGUGUAAAUAGGAUAGGACGCUUCAAGACGUUUCACUUUUUUACUUUUCCUCUUUUUUUGAAUCUGCAGUUAGUAGGCAAACAAUUCAUGUUCAAACACCCAUGAAUUACAAAAGCAAACACAUUUUGGGGCGGUAUAUAUUGUGACGCCCAUUUUAAAGAUGAGAUCAUGAGAACCUGAACCCUUACCCAACACAUCAUGCAGAUGCAAUGGCAUCUCUGGCAAUUAAACUCUCCCUUCAAUAUGUUAGCCACAGGGCCAGCUUCUGCUUCCUGCUCAUCUUGGGAUCUUAAUCUAGAAAUUUACACUGUGCAAUGAAUAUAUUUAGCAGGGUACCCUCCAUGAUGUGUUUUAAAUGAUGUAUUUUUAGUUAUGAAGUGUGUAAUUGCAGCUGUUGAAUUCCUGCAGCUGCUCAGAGCUGUGCAGGUGGACACAAUCCUUCUCCUCGUUCACUUGGUUCUGUCCUUUGGUCACGUGGAGUUUUCAGAUGUUAACGUUGUUUGUAGCCUAGACAAUCCUAUGGCUGCAGAUAGGACAAAACUGUGUCUGGCCUUCCAUACAGUGUCUGCUAUGUUAGUAAAAAUUGAAUCUGAGGCAAGAAGUAAGAGUGUGCAUGUACAGUCUGACAAAUUGCAUCCUCGUCUGCCUGCUCUAAUUGUCUUCUUGUUGGGCUAAUCUGCAUUGUGUAGCUGCAGCUUGAAGGAUCCCAUCUUAAGAGAAUGCUGAAGUCAGGGCUUCUAGGCAAAAUAAAGGGACAUUAAUUACUCAAAAUUGCUUAAAGCUGGAAUUGUGCCUCUAAUGACAGCACUAAUUACUCAGAAUCUGACAAUGUGAAAAGUUCCCUUUAAUUUGACUGAUCCUGGCUGUGGGUUGUAUAUCUCCUUGGCUCUCCACUGUCUGCCCACAGUUUUAAUUUGUUAUCAUCAUUGUAAGAUUACUGAGUAAAUGAAUUAUCUCUUAUUUGGGAGGGAUAUAUUGUGGCUGUUGAACAUGUCGUGUAUUUCCUUAUUUCCUCCUACUGGAGAAUAGUUCUGCUGUGUUUUGGUUCAUUUAGAGCAAGGUGACUCUUGACUGAUCUCCUUCCCCUCCAGGCAGUACAGAAAUGCACUUCAGUUUGGGCCUGGUGGGCUUUGGUUGGCUGGGUUUCCUUUCCUUGUUUGUUUUUGACUUUUGCCACCGAGUCAGAGCAGAAAAAGCAACACUAAAAGAGAUUUAAGGUGCAAAGGCAGCACUCGGAAAGUUAGUAAACGUAAGAAUGGACAUUUUUAAUGGAAUUUUAAUUGUAGUCCUUCACUUAUAUGCAGCAUGAUGGAUCAGUGCUGUAUUUGCCGCUGUGUUGUAACUGGUAAGUCAUUUAUUCACUGUUUUCCUACCAAUUCUGCUGCCAUUCUUGUUUUCAAAAUUUGUGUCUACAGAGUAGUAUUAAAGCUAGAGAAGUAACUUUGCCAUGUGGAUUUGAUGCUCCACUGAAGAAACCAGUAGGAGCUUUCCUGUUAGUUUCACUUAGUGUAGGAUCCAGUCACAGGAGUUUCAUCACAAGCAUUCCCUUCAAAACAUGCUUUAAUGUUCUGAUUCGUUUACAGUCAAAAUACUGAAUUGAUGUUACUUAAUUUAAACCCAGCUUUGUUGACAUAAAACUUUCCAGUGGUUUAUUCUCAUUGGGGCUUUGGUUUCCUUUUAUGUCUUCCUUUCUGUAUGGCUGAGUGAGCCAGUUAUUUCUGUGCCUGCAAAUAGGAAUAUUAGUUGUGUACAGUGACUGCAGUCAUGCAAGGACACAAUUAAAUGUCCUUGCCUUCGCAGGAUGCUUAGCAAUGAUUUAUAAUUACGUUCUAUUUUAACUUCUUCAUAACAACUUACAUAGUCAACAACUCAGUGUGGUCAAAAAUAAUUAUUUUUCAAAUUAUGUUUUUUCUUUUUCCUACAAGGAGUGGAGAAUACCAUUCUAAAUAAAACUGAUGUAUAAAUGAUGGGGGGAGGGCAACGCAAAACAGUGGUUUAUCUUUCUUUGUCCAAACAACACUGAAUAAGAAGCUUGUGCUACAAGGAAAGUUUGGCCGGGACACGGAGGGAGGGACCUCGGGAUGAAAACAGAGCAGUCAUGCAGUCGCUCUUAAUGAUUUCUCUUUUUUCCUACAUGCAGAAAAUUGCUGGCAUUCCCCAACAAAACCCACAAACACACCUACGUCAAAAAUGUAAAUAGGUUUCAAAAUCAAAUACUGAAAGGUCAAGAAAUGCCACGUGUAUAUACACGGCCAGAAGAAUUCUGACCCUACCUCUCCGUGCCUCCAACCUGGAGGCUGAAUUGAGGGGAUUGUGUUAGAAACAAACAUGCAAAACCCCAGAUAUGUGAGCACACAGUUGAAGGCUGUUCCCCAUUGUGCCCCAAUGCAUUUUUCUAUUUCCUAUUGGUUUUAGUUAUUUUGAUUGUUUUUAAGGUUUCUCGGUAAUGUAAAUGUUAUGUAGCCUGUUGCUGUCACUACUGACAUCUCUUUUCUUUAUGGUCCCAUUGUAUUUUAGAAGACUGUAAGCCUCGGGACUCAGGAUCUGUCCCUUUCAUUUGCUUAUCAAUAGCCAGGCUAGCUGCAGCCCUGCCAAAAUCCUUUUUCUUGGUUGUGGAGCUCCAUUGGGCUCAGAGAAGGGUGUUGAGAGGGCACGUUUCCCUGUUCUCUUCUCGAGGUACAGCAGCCUUUGGCAGCAUCCUUUGUACCAGCCAGGCUUCCCUAAGCCCCAUGAAAUUGCCCAAAUCUGGUGCAACAGUGCUGGAAUGCCGUUGGCCAAGCAAAGGGUGGCAUGUAUCUGCUUUGCGACGCGAGGCCGCGGUGUGGGCACGCAGCCCGGCGCCUGCCUUGGCCUUGCUGCCCGAUUCCGGUCUGUUGAGACUUGCAGCCAUCUUUGUUUGCUUUCUGUGGGCUUAACUUGGCCAAACAACUGGCUUACAGCUCUUUGGGCGUGCUGAAAGCUUGAGCCGCAGGCACGGUCUUUCUCCGGUAGCAUAGGUACGUGCCAAUAGACUUCAUGGUCUUCACAGAUCAGCCCCUCUCUGUGCUGAUUUUGUCACUGGAGCGUGAGCACCCCCAGAGUGUGGACGGUACAGCUCUGGCUGGCCGCACGCCGGUGGUUGUUGUACUGUGUCUUCUUGUGCAGAGCUGAGGCUGCAGGCUGCGGGAUGGAAGGAGAGCGACGGCCAGCUUGCCAAUUGCUUCCAGAGAGUGGUUCAGGCUUAGAAAAUAUUCAAAAAAAAAACACAGGGGUUUCCCUUUUGUUUCCUGAAUCCCUUUUUAUAUUAUUUCAGCUGCCUUUGGACAAAGGAAGGGGAAAAAAAGUUAACCACAGAGAGAUCAUGAGUACAUCUUUGGCGUUGUUUAAUAAGAAAAUACAGGCUUGUGUUGAAUUAUGCAGUUAGCGUGGGGCAGGCAGGUGGUCUCAGUCCUUUUGGUUCUUUUUUUCAGUGCCAGCAGAAGGUGAAGACACAGCAGGUGAGUGUGGGUUGGUGCUGUCCCCAGCACAAGUGUGAUGGAUGCUCUCAUCUCCAAGACAGGAACGAAGGGGCUGUGACAGACGCAGUCCCUCUGGCUGCUGCUGGUGCUCCCCUCCUGCCAGCAGAGCAGCGUGGCUCCCACCCAACCCUGUGUGCAUCACUGCGGGCUGGGGGUCCUCCACAUCUCAUAGAAGUGUGUUAGUGGCCCUUCCCUGCCGUACAGCUGCUGCUUGAGUUUGAUUUUGGGUAUCUUUUUGGAGAUCUCAAAGAUAUUCCCAGUUCAGCCAUUGAUGGGAAAGCUGUUGUUGGUCCUGAGGAGCAUUUUGCUGCAGAAAUCUGAAAAUUUGCUGCAGCCCUAUAGGUUAACGUGUGCGGUAACGUUUCAGGGUCUUCUGGUAGUAUUUGAAAAUGAUAAAGCGAUUGGCUCAGCAGAAGGCAAACAGAUGUCUCAGCUUGGCUUGUCCCAGCAAUCCUGCCGUUCACUCGGCUGUGACCUUUACCCGGGUCACCUUAUCUUCCUUGCAACUCAACUGGAUCGCUGUAAGGGGCACCAAUGUGACAUUCUCUUGAAAUGGAUUCAAAAUCCGCCCCGAGCUGCUGUGUGGGCGGAGGGGAGCACAGCGCCUACAGGCCUGCUGGGGGGUCAGGGUGCUCGGGCUGUAACUCAAGUCGUUAGGAUUAGUCCAUAAAGCCCUUCCUAAUCCACAUCUUAAGAAUCUGAAAGGUCGCUUGUGGUCCAGUAAUCCCUAGUAGCGAACGGGAGGAAUUAGUGGUGAUUGUUUGGAUCUUAAACCACCCCUUAAGAUUAAUGCUGGUCUCUGCCCCAAAAGCAUAUGUGUGUUAUUUUGGUGGGGUCCCAGAGGCCGUGCAAGGAGUGAGCAGCUGGGCUGUCACACAGCGUGACUUGGCACGGAGCGUUUAAGCAUUUUUAAUGAUGGAAGGGAUGGGCAGGAGGAUGCGCGUGCCCACCUGUAGCCGUCAUGUUGUGCCUGCUCAGCACCAGGUUCCCACACCCACCCCAAAACCUCCCAGCACUGCUGCUGGUGCCAACCAGAGGAGCAGAGGGAGCUUGGGUGGUGGGACAGCGGGCUGGGCUCCCCCCAUGGAGCUGUGGUGGUGCCAGAGUGACACGUCUGCCCAGAGGUGCAGAGUGGGUGCUGGUGGCCAUGCUCUGGGUGUGAUUUUUUCUGUGCCCUGUGGGGCCUGGUUUGCUGUGAUGUCUGGGUACAUCACUGCUGGUGAUGUCAGGGCACGUGCGUGUGGAAGGGAUCACUGAGCAGUGGAACUGCACGGGCACGCCUGGCUUUGGCACACAGAGCGAUGCCGCUGUGCUGUCCUUGCUGUGUUCCAUCGGGGGCUCCUGCUGCGCCGUGCAGAGCCGGGGGCCACCCAGCCCUUAUUGCAGGAGGGAAAAGCAGAGGGAAGGAGAUUAAAAGAUUUGCCAGCAACAGCAAGCAAUCAGCGGCUGCGCUGAAAAUAGAAACCGCGCUCCUGGUUUGCACUCCCUGAACCUGGCCGCCAGACAGCACGGCUGUAUUAAAAAUGUACAUGCAAAUAUAGAGGAACGUUUCCUUCUUCAAACCCGCCCCGCUCACAGGUUGCGCCUUUGAGUCAGGGCUCCUCGCGGUGAGGUGACACCCAGCACUGCCAUCAGAGGCUCUGCCACCCACAGGGCUGAAUGCAGCACAGCCCUGCAGCACCCAGCAGCACCGAGCACGCCACUCAUGUCUGUGCUGACACAGAGCAGCAUUCAGUGGGGCAGGCUGCUGCUCGGAGCGCUGCGACGGCUGCGUUUCAGGAAGCCCGAAGGGAUGCUGUGGCGAUAGCCGUCAAUAGGCCUUUGUGUUCCGGAAAAUGUUCCCUCUCACGGCGUACCACAGGCUCGGGGUGGCAGCUUGGGAGCAGGCUGGCAUUUUAACUAGUAGGCAGUGCAUUUGUGGGUGCUGGUAAAUCCGACGCAGGUGAGAUGUGCAGCAGAACAGGGCUGAGGUGCUGGCAGUGCCAUCGAUGGUCUCGUGCCUUUGGGUUUGUGCUCGCGUUAGUUCUGUUCCCACAUUGUUCCUCUAUGCCGUAAACCCGCAGCAGGACCAAAAAUUAAAAGCAGCACGUGGAUGCAACCCAACCAAAGAGCCAGAGCAAACUUCAUGGGAGGAACGGGGUUUGGAAAUGCAGCACUGAGUCUUCCAAGUAGAGUCCAUGUUAAAGGCUCUUAGAGAAGCAGUGAUGGAGCAAUCUCCUUUCAAAGGAGGGGCAGCUGGUCGUCUCCGCGCUUGCAGGGCCGUGGUGCUGCACAUCAGGGCUGUGUGCUGCCGGUGUCACUUUGCCACGUCCCUCUGUAUCUCAAGUUUGUGUGUGGUAGGGCUCCAUAGAGGGGUCUGUGCCAUAGGACAAGGGGAAACGGCUUCAAACUGAAAGAAGGCAGACUUAGACUGGAUAUGAGGAAAAUGUUUUUUAUGAUAUGGGCAGUGAGGCAGUGGCACAGGGUGCCCAGAGAGGCUCUGUCUUUUGUUACUGCUCGGAGCAUGGGCUCAAGCAGUGAGCAGUUCCCGCGGCCCCUUGCUAUGCAGUAACAGUGUGACACCGCCAAAACGGGGCCAUUGUGCCCCACUGCCCCUCGCCGGCCCCAGGGCUGAGGCAGGAGAGCUCGGCUGCUGGCUCUGGUCCUCUCUGUCAGACAGCAGCUAAUUGGAAGGGCUCGACCUCCAAAUGCAUUGCAAACACCGGGGUAAUGACUUCCUUUCCCAGUUACGGACCCGUGGGUGGUUGGCACUCCGGGUAAGGGCUUCUCUUGCUGUGAUUCUCCUGUGCUGCAUGACCUUGCUUGAGCCGAGGAGGUUUGACUUUUCAAAAGGUUCAUUUACUCCUAGAUAAAGAUUAAUUUUCAUUUUAAUUUUUAACCUAAACCGCUUAUGGGAAUGUGUUUUUGCAUUCCACCUGAGAUGCUGUUAUCUGUGUCCAGCUUUGCCCCCUCCAUGGCUUGCUUUACCCGGCAGGUAAUGAGCAGCCUCCCUUCCUCUGCUCGGCUGGGACCUGGCGCUGGGUUCCGCGUGGUUCUGUUACGGUGUGAUGAGGUGCAGUUCCUACACCACUUCCUUUGCACGGAGCCCCAGAGUCCUUCAGCAAUGACAGUGGCGAUGCCGGGCCGGCCCCGGGGGAGCUGCAGCACAGAGCUGCACUCACAGCACGGCCCUCUGCUCCCAGCGCUCUGCCCAGAGCCGCACAGACGGCCAUUGUCCCUGCAGGGAUGUGCAGCACUUCUCCAGACUCCCGGUCUCCUGCUCUCACCGCAGGAAAACGCUGUUGUGUGUAAUGCGGGCAGGCCUGGGAGGGAGCACUGCAUGGUGGGAGCAGUGCUUGGCUUCCCCUGUCUGGCAGCUCUCACUGCAGCUGGUGGGAGCAGCAGGCCCGGCACACAGCCAUGCAGCAGCCCAGCUCUGCAGGACGUGGGUCUUGUGUCCCUUUUGUUGUGUAAAGAGAAGAAGCGGCACCAGGUGACGCUACACGGGAGCAGGAAGAAGUGCACCCCACUCAUAAAAGCAGGACGCGUGGAACUGAACGAUGGCUCUGCGGUUUGCUGUGGUGAACUCAUUUUUCACCAGUGUUUGCACCAGCAGCAAGGGUCAGUCAGGGCUGUAGGGGAGCACAGUGCUGGGCAGUGCUUCCAGCAUGGCAGCUUUGGUGUCUGCAGUCUCCUGCAGCUGGGGGGACCCUGCACAGGGAUGGACCCAGGGGUGCUGGGUAGCCCCCAGCCCUAAACCCUUCGAGUGAGGCUGGGAGAGGGACUGCAAGCCCCAAGCAGAGCAGAGGAGCUGCAGGUGGCUGUGCACACCAGGGGUGCGAUGUGGUGGCACAUGGCGCGUGGGAAGGAGGCGUAGCCCUCUGGCUGCACAGUCUAUAGGUAGAACUUUAGGACAGCCCAGAUUCAGACUGUCCGUAAAUAGUAAGAGAGAAGCAACAGAGCUCCAAAUCUGCAGAAGGAGGUAACAAGUGUGUCCCGAAUCUUUUGUAGAUUGCCUGGCUCUGUUUCUCUUCACUGGGAGAAAAUGCUUCGCUGCAAGGACAGCAGGAGGUGGAAGCAGCUGGAAGGGGCUGUGCACAGCUUCCUGCAUCGCCUGGAGCCAGUCACUGCGCUGCAGGACCUGCUGCUCCUGUGCUGUGGGGUGGGUGCUGGCUGCGAAGGAUUAUUUGGGGAUUGGCAUUUGUGAGGUAAAGAACUAUUGAAAGUGGAAGGUGAAGAGCUGCUGGUGUCCAGAGAAGAGGUUGGAUGAGGAGAUGGGAGAGAUGGAAUAUAAAGAGAUUUCACGAUUGCUGUCUAAUUGUGAAACAGGCGUGGGUCUCUCAGGUUCUGGACAAAUUAUUGCAGGCAGAAGAAUGGCAAUGAACCCAGCCAGCCCCAUGGCGUGGGGACCUGCACCUCCCCGAGCUGUGUUCGGACUUUGCCUUUUGCAGACAAAAAUUCCCUACCUUUUGUGGAGGUCUGGGCGUGGAGGAGAGGAUUGUGCAAAGCCCAGCAGCGGCCCUGGCAUCAAAUACUGUCAGUAAAUACAGUGUGAGCGUCCUAAUCAGCAUCUCUCAGCGGAUUGCAGAAGGGCAGGCUCCACCAGCAUGGCUGCCCUCGGGGCCCUGUUCGCCUGCGGGCUCUGCGCCGCGCUUUUCAUCGCCGCACUCCUCUAUGUUGUAAGAGGUUUUAAACGAUCGCCUUCCAAUUUGCCUCCCGGUCCGGUUCCUCUCCCCAUCAUCGGCAACCUGCACCUGCUGGACAUCAGGAGGCAGGACAGGUCUCUGAUGAAGAUUUCAGAGAAAUACGGGCCAGUGUUCACUGUCCACCUGGGGAUGCAGCAGGUGGUGGUGCUGACUGGCUACGAGGCGGUGAAGGAUGCGCUUCUGAACACGGCGGAUGUGUUUGCAGACAGACCAGCUAUCCCCAUCUUCCACCACAUCCAACAUGGAAAUGGUGUGUUCUUCUCUUCCCAAGAGCUCUGGAAGACGACGCGGCGGUUCACCCUGGCUGCUAUGCGGGAUCUGGGCAUGGGGAAGCGGCUUGCAGAGGAAAGGAUGCUCGAGGAGCUUCAGUUUCUUAUCAAGCUGAUCGAAUCCUUCCAAGGUGGGCCUUUCCGACUUCGGUUUUUGAAUGCGGCUCCCACCAACAUCACCUUUGCUAUACUCUUUGGGAGAAGGUUUGAUUACGGAGACCCAACAUUUGUCACUCUGCUGCGACUCAUCGAUGAGGUUAUGCUCCUUCUUGGCUCCCCAUUCCUGCACCUAUUUAAUUUCUACCCAUUUCUUGGAUUUCUUCUUAAACCUCACAAGAUGAUACUGAAAAAAGUAGAAGAGGUGUGUGUGAUCCUAAAGAAGCAUAUCCAGGAAAGCAAAGCAAAUAUUAAUGAAAACAACCUGACGAGCUACAUUGAUGCACUGGUCUUCAAACAAGAGGAGGAGAAUAAAAGCAGUACGCUUUUUGAUGAUGCAAAUGUGUUGGCCUCUGCACUUGACUUGCUCAUGGCUGGCACUGAAACAACAUCCACCACCCUGCAGUGGGCCGUCCUGCUGAUGAUGAAGCACCCCGAGAUUCAAAAAAAGGUGCAUGCAGAGAUUGAGCGCGUUCUUGGCCCUGACUGCCUGCCAACCUUUGAGGACCGGAAAAACAUGCCCUUCACCAACGCGGUCAUCCACGAGGUGCAGAGAUUUGUCACCCUUCUGCCACACGUUCCGCGGUGCACCUCUGCUGACACGCACUUCAAAGGCUAUUUCAUACCCAAGGGAACAACAGUGAUUCCUCUGCUCUCCUCGGUGCUGCUGGAUAAAACACAGUGGGAAACACCAGACGAAUUCAACCCCAACCACUUCCUUGAUGCAGAUGGGAACUUUGUAAAGAAGAAAGCGUUCCUGCCCUUCUCCACAGGGCGGAGGAACUGCAUUGGAGAAAGCCUUGCCACGGUGGAGCUCUUCAUCUUCUUCACGGGCUUGAUCCAGAAGUUCACCUUUAAGCCUCCGCCCGGGGUGAAAGAAUCAGAGCUGGACACGGCGGCAGAGGCCGGGUUCACCAUGAGGCCGUCCCCGCAGAGCGCCUGUGCUGUGCUGCGCCGGGAGCCCCAGCCUCGCAGCGCAGAAAAACCCACGUAGCCGCUUGCUGCGGAGCCCAGCAGCGCACGCAGGAGCAACCAGAGCCCUGUGCAGGAGUUAGAAGUAAUGCCUUCUUACUCAAAGCCUUUCAAGAACUGGCUCUGUGCUUAAAAUAUGCGUUGAGCAAAUGGUUUUCUACGAAGCAGAGGAGAGCUGGGCGUGAGGUUAGCUGGGAACACCGCCCGACAUGUGACGGGGAGUGAUAGAACCAUCACUGCUUCACACAUUAAAUGCACAAUAGAAGACCCCAUCCUCAAGGGAUACACUGUCAGCAAGCAAUGCUUCAAGAGGGCAAGAGAGAGGCUGGAGGCCCAGGGCACCAAGCAUGGGGACAUCAGAGAAGCUGUGGUGGGAACCUUUUCUUCUGCCUCUUCAAGCAAGAGCUGAAGGUUAGGCAAGGAAAAAAGUGAAAAGCCAAGGCUAUCAUCAGUAACCGUAGCUGAGCACAAAGAGAAAUCUCAUUGCCCUGGAGAAACCGCUCGGCAGACUGGAGGCUCUCUGGCUGAGCUGUUUGUCAGUAGGAUCAGGGCAUGCAGAACCUCUCAGCCAUGGGUACGAGUUGAACCCACAGUGUUGUUGUCACUCUGGGCUCAGGUUCAGCUCUCCAUGGCAUUUGCUUUUCUGUGAAAUACAGAGUUGGGUGGUAAGCACAUCUGGUAUAAUGAAGACGUGGGAGGAUUGAAACUUUAUUGGGUUCCCAUGAAGGGAGGGACAGAAACAAUGUGAUAAAGUACACGAUAAGCUAAUGCAUAUGGAGAAUAGCAGUUCACAGGCAGCUGUAUGGAUGGAAAAUUGCCUGGGCUAUACGUCAGCUGGAAUAAGACUGCAGAAUAUGAUGGCUGAUAAGAGUGCUAUGGACAGGGGCAGCAGACAGAGCAAAGGAAAAUAACUACAACCAGGUCUGAGCCCAAUUCUCCUUGCAUGCAUGUUGGCUCCAC